rnacentral:rRNA from 1 species
CACGCAGGCGGAUUGAUAAGUCAGGGGUGAAAUCCCGGGGCUCAACCUCGGAAUUGCCUUUGAUACUGUCUGUCUUGAGUUCGGGAGAGGUUGGCGGAAUUCCUAGUGUAGAGGUGAAAUUCGUAGAUAUUAGGAAGAACACCAGUGGCGAAGGCGGCCAACUGGCCCGAUACUGACGCUCAUGUGCGAAAGCGUGGGGAGCAAACAGGAUUAGAUACCCUGGUAGUCCACGCCGUAAACUAUGGAUGCUAGCCGUUGGGGAGCUUGCUCUUCAGUGGCGCAGCUAACGUCUUAAGCAUCCCGCCUGGGGAUACGGUCGCAAGAUUAAA